AAAUAUAUGAAAGGUAGUGAGCUUUUGGAUUAUUUAUGAGAAUCUAUACUAUUAAAAGGGAAUGAUUGUUAAAAAAUCUACCUAUAAAAGGUUGUUGCACCUAUUCAUUAACUAUUCAUUAUAUUUGGGAUUACCUUUAUUUUUUCUAACAAUCAAAACAAUAGGGAAAACUGUUUUUUUAGAGCAAAAAAAUGGUAACUAUGUCCUUUUAGACUAAUCUAUAUUUUGUGUCAUAUUUUCCUAUAACAUCCUUUAAUAUUUUUGAAAAUAAAUUUAAUAAAUAGUUUUACAAACAAAAUUUUUUUGGAAAAAUAGUAACUUUUGAUAAAAUACCUAUAUGAACUUAGUGAUAUUUUUUCCAGUUAUAAAAAAGUAAAAAUUAUAAAUUUCAUAUUAUGUUCUAAAUAAAGUAGAAAUGACAUUCUACGAAGUAGAAAACGAAAUCCACUUUUUUCAUUGAAUCUACAAUGUUUAGAAUACGUGAUCUACGUAAAUAGGAGUAUUCUAAAAAUAUUUAGAAUACACAUUCCGCGCUUAACCUAUCGUUCUAAAAUCUUUAGAAAUCAAAAUCUACACAUUAAUAUAAAUCUAAAACACGUAGAAACCUACUUCUACAGAUUUACUAUAAAUCUAAAACAUGUAAAAAUCAAAAUCUAAACAUUACUAUAAUUCUAAAAAACUGUAGAAACCGAUUUCUACAUAUUAGUUGUAUUCUACGGAUAAGAAAUCAGUUCCUAAAAAUAUGGAAACAAAAUAUUUGGGAAUAUUCACUUUUAUAUUUUGAAAAAAAAAUCGAUUUUUUUUAAAAAAAAUAAAAAAACGAAAAAGGAACAAAAAAUAAAAAAAAAACGAAAAAGGAAUAAAAAAAUUACAAUUUUAAGGGCAUUACUGCCAUUUUGAAAAAAAUUAGUCUAAUGGGACAUAAAGUAGUAUAGAUUAGUAUAAAGGGACAUAGUUACCAUUUUUUUGCUCUAAAAAAACAAUUUUCCCAACAAUAAAUACAUGAUAUACUUUUUGGAAAUAUCGUUGGCUUGUUUUCAAUAUUAUUUGUUCUGCCAUUGUCAUUUAUUUAAUCAUCUAAAAAUUAUUAAAUAUAUAUUUGGUACAGUAAUAUCAGUGAAAUAUAUGUAUCUCAUUAAUAACAUGUUAAUGUGCAAUAUUCAAAGCAUAUUAUUCAAUUUAUGUUCCUUAUAUAUGUAACAUAAUUUAUUGACCGAUUGAGCAUAUAUUCAUAUUUUAAUUUUAAUCACUUUUCGAUCAUGUUAUUAAAAUGUAAAAUAUUAGAAUUUACAUUUUAUACAAUUAUAAAAUUAUUGGCCUUCUUAUCUGUAUUUAUACUAAAUUUUAUACAAUUAUAAUUUUUUAGGUUUUAUCAGAUUUUUAAUAAAUCAGUUUUAUUAAAUCCGAAUUUUGUAAAAACCUAUCAGUUGAUAGAACCUCUGAUGGAAUGCAACAUAAAGAACAUAGGGCAAUACAGAUUAUAUAUGGCUAUCGGGUUUAUCAGUUCGAACACGGAUCAAGAUCGGAUAAAAACACUAUUUAUAUCUUAAUUCGUCUAUAAACCACAAAUGUACCCCCACUUAAAGGAGUUAAACAAUUUGUAAAAGUAUAAUACUUUUUUGCACUAUUUAAAUGUAGAUGGACUGUUAGUCUUUAGCAUUUGGUUUUGGUUUGAGUAUUUUGAGUUUUGGUGUUUUUGUUCUCGAAAUUUAAGAUAAUUAUUUACAAAGUUUAGUUUGGUUUGGUUUGGUUUUAGUUGGGUUGUUUUAUUUUUAUUUAUUUGGUCAUUAGCAAAGUUGAGAAUCACCUAAUAUGAAAAAAAAAUUGGGUCCAAUUAAGUUAUGGUUUGAUUCCGGUUUUUUAGAUAAUUACGAAUUUGCAGAUAAAUUUGGAUAAUUUGGGAUUAUCAGUUUAAAUAUCAUGUAAUUUUGGUUCUUCGGAUGAAAAUAUCAGAUAAUUCAAAUAGUUUUAAUAUUUUAAGGAUUUUUUUGGAGGAAGGGGGGGGGGGAUAAUUUGGUUAUUUUUAAAGUAUUUGGUUAUUUAGAAAUUAAAUGUAAUUAAUAUUAGUGAGUAUAGAAUUGGUAUUUUAAAAUUUCACUUACCCUUGUGGUUCUCCGUUACUUAUGAAAUUCAGUUUAUUUGUAGUUUCAGGAUUUUCAGUUUGGUACAAUUUAGUUUGUGGUUCUGAAUAAAUGUGAUCAAAUCUAUACAAUAUAUUAUAUAGAAAUACAUUUAAAAUAUUUAAAAAAAAAAUUCAAAAACAAACCUGCGCUUUCCAAACGCGGAUCAAAAUCUAGUGGAGAAUUAUAAAUCAUAAAUGUUAAAUUGCACAUUAACUAAAUACCUUUCAAAAUCUAUCUGUUUAAAAUAUUUUAAAUAUUUGUAGAUUUCAAAAGAUAUAUUUUAAACUGAAUAUUAUAUAGAUUUUAGAAGAUCUUAGAGUUAUAAUUGGUUUCCAAAUUUCUUUAUCUGCCAAUAAAUUUUGUUUAUGUAAGUAUACUUGAUGAUAACUUUUACAUAUUUAAUAAUAAAAUUGCAUGUCAAAAAACAUGCAUAAAUAUUUGCCAAUAUGGAUUUUGGCUCGAGUUAUCCCACCACUGGUUCAAGACCAACCUUUCUUAAUAAUCCUAUGGCGUAAAACAUUUUUUUUCAAAAUUGAACUAGAAACACAAUAAAACCAGGGCAAUGUUUUACCACUAGCCAACUAUUCUACCAUAUAUAAGUGCAAGAUGCAAACACAAUAAGGUAGUGCAGAAGAUAAAUCAAGAGACAAAUACACAAGCAAACACCAAUGUUUUUAUUAGAAUUUCCUUUAAACAAUUUUUACAAGACUUGCUUAUUCAGCUUUUAUACGUCUAGUGUUAACACCCUAACACACGCUACUGAAUAAUUCCUAAGCUACCUGCUUAUGUCUCUUCUCCGUCAAGUACUUCAGCCACUGCUUCAGCACGACCCAAGAACACUUCCAAGAGCUUUUCUCUCUCUAUAAGAUCAGCCUUCGUGUCUCUGUCUCUAUACAGACGACUUCAUAGCUAUCUUAUAGUUAUUCUCCAUGUUCCCGAAACCCUAAUCUCCAAGGCAACAUGUAUGGACAUCUUCCAUAACAAUAAGUGCAACUUUCCUUUUCUUGGAAUGCACUUACUCCUCUUUCUUUAAGUCAUAAAUUUGCUCCUCAAGUUUAUUCAUCUUUCCAUAUCUCCAAGAUAUUGUUGACCUAAGCUUGAGAUAACUUGGGAUAUAAGCUAUUCUAAUGAGAUUAGGAUUAGAAUAGAUCGAGAGUUAUCUAUAAGAUAUGUUUCCUAUUGAGAAUAGGAAUAUAUAAGUGUUAUAUAAGGAGAUGCUAAUUGUGUGGUAUAACUUGUGAGUUUGAGUUUGAGAAAGCUAUUAAUAAAGUGAGUACUUUAUAUUUGCUUGUGUUAUAUAUUCUUGGAUAUUGGUUCUUACGAUUCAAUAGAUACUCCCUUGCUUUCCAAGUCUACACGACUUCAGCUCAGCAUCUUGAUUCCACAUGGACUUCACCACUCACUACGACGUCUGCUUCAGCAACUACGUCAACGACUACUUCAAGGGCAUACAUCUUACAUCUUCACCAUAUUCAGUAGUUUUUCUUUCAACUCGAUCUCCUAAUUUUCAAAAUCUCAUAAUAAUUAGUCCCUAAUUCAAAAGUACAUUUUGUUCGCACAUAUCAUUGAAAUUAUAGUAUCCUCGAGAUCGCACAUGGAGGCAAUGAAAUGGGUAUUACAUACAUUGCCUUUUGAUAUAAUAGUAAAAAGAAAGAAGACGAAAUAUAUGAUAAGAGUUUAAGAGGCAGGGUUUAUAUGAUUUCGAUAAAUUGUUACUGGAAGAUAAACCAAAUUGCUCGGAAACAGUUUAGAGAAAAAGAUUAGAAUCAAGCUUCAUAGACUUUGCAUUCCUCAUCGGCUGGGUUUGUCUUACAGAAAUCUUCCAAAGGGUCUCCGCUUCCAGCAGCUACUUCUCCCGGCCACUUGGCAGCCACUAGGUGAGCCAAAUCCACUACUCUUUGGCUAUAUCAUUAAAUUAUAUAUGACAAUUUAGUCAUUAAAUGUUUCAAACUCUAAUUACAUGUAGAAAGAGAAUUUUUAUAUAAAAAUGUUAAGCAGGUAAAAAGAACUUCUUAGGAGACAUAAUGGCAAACUGAUGUAGUGGUGAAGUCGAAAUACAUUCUGUGGACACAUCCUUUCGAGAAACUUAAAUGAAAUCCGGCAAUAAUAAUAUGUAAAAUGCUGUAUCAUCGGAAAAAUAAAAUUUUCUUUAAAAUCUGAAGAUCAUGCUUUCUGUAAGCUAACGCAUUAAAUCAACUUCCAGUUAUUUAAAAGAAAACCAAAAUUCUAAAAAGUGCCAAAAUUACGUUAUCGUGCAUGUAUGUUAAAAAAGUCACAUUUCUAAAAAAAAAAAUUGUUUGAAAAAAUAAAACUCGUGGGUUCCUUUCUAAAGAAAUCAUUGAAAUAAAGGCAAAAUGAAAAAAAAAUAUAAUGUAAACCAUAUGAAUUGAUUUAAUCUUAUGAAUGUAUUAUCUUUGUACCUGUAACCCCACUCGUUGUCGUACCAGGCGACCACCUUGACCAUAUCAUCACCCAUGACCAUUGUGAGGGAAGAGUCAAUGGUGGUUGAGACAUCAGAGCACCUGAAGUCACAAGAGACAAGUGGCGUGUCGCAAACCUCUAAAACGCCCUUGAGCGGUCCAGCGGCCGCUUUUCUGAAGGCCUCGUUAACGUCUUCAGCAGUCAAACCUUUCUUCUCAACGUUUAUAACAAGGUCAACCACAGAGACGUUUGGGGUCGGCACA
rnacentral:lncRNA from 1 species